ACUUCACUUCCUGUCUUUAUGUGUUUUCCCACCUCAGUAAUUGUGUGCCCCGCCCUAAUUAGUUUCACCUGUGUCUCGUUCGACCCACCUGUGUCUCGUUUGACCCACCUGUGUCUGAUUACCCCUUGCAUGUAUUCAGUCUCUGGUUUCCUCCCUCCUGUGUUCUUCUGAGCUCCUGUUUGGAUUUUGAGUUGGACUUUCAUUGAGAGAUCAUUUCCUGCUGACCAAGGCCGGAUCAUGACAUGCCACGCUGCCAUUGACCUCACAAAUGACUAACCCAGGGACAUGGUGGCCUGUAACUUCAGCAGAGCAAAGUGAUCUAAUGAGGAUCUAAUGGAACGAAGUAGAGGAGCUUCACUUCACAUGAUUCAGAGAAGGACUGACGAUGCUGGCUCCGUUUCAGCUCUUUGAUGCUGCUGGAAAACAAGAGUUCUACAUUCACAGACAUUCAUUCAAGUUGCAGAAGUCCCCGCACAUUGUGCACCAGAUAAAUUAUGCAUAUACAUACAACACGCAGGAUGUGAGUAGCUACUUGAGAUUUUAGUAUCAUUCUUAUCACAUCCUGGCAUGUUCUGUACAGAAGCAGAGUUACAUAGAAGUGUUUUUGUUCACUGCACAUUAACUCAUUCAUCUGAAUAACGAUGCAUGAGAUAAUCUACUGAAGCUGAAUUAUUCAAUCAAAUAAAUGAUCCAAACUUG